CCUACGGGUGGCAGCAGUGGGGAAUAUUGCACAAUGGGGGAAACCCUGAUGCAGCGACGCCGCGUGAGUGAAGAAGGAUCUCGGUAUGUAAAGCUCUAUCAGCAGGGAAGAAAAUGACGGUACCGGACUAAGAAGCCCAGUCUAACUACGUGCCAGGAGCCGCGGUAAUACGUAGGGGGCAAGCGUUAUCCGGAUUUACUGGGUGGAAAGGGGGCGUAGACGGCGCUGCAAGUCCGGAGUGAAAGCCCAGGGCUUAACCAUGGUACUGCUCUGGAAACUGUGGAGCUUGAGUGCGGGAGGGGCAGGCGGAAUUCGUGGUGUAGCGGUGAAAUGCAUAGAUAUUAGGAAGAACACCGGCGGCGAAGGCGGCCUGCUGGACCGUAACUGACGUUGAGGCACGAAAGCGUGGGGAGCGAACAGGAUUAGAUACCCUAGUAGUC
rnacentral:rRNA from 1 species